rnacentral:rRNA from 1 species
AGUUUUGAGCUAAAUAUAUUAUAAUAUUAGUUAUUUAUGGAAGGUGUUGUAAAAUCUUAUUAAAAAUUAUAUUUAGGGGUGAUAGGCCUUUCAAAAACUAAGAUAUCUUGAAUCUAAUUAAAGGUAUGUAGUACAUUUUACACAACUAUUAAGUGACUAGGCUUUAUAGAACUAUUAACUUAUAGAUAUUUUAUUUACUAUAAUUUAAUAAUUAAGUAUAUAAGUAUAUUAAUAUUCAUUUAUUAUAAUUUAUAAGGAGUAAUUAGAUAAAUUUAAGUUUAUAAAUUUUGUAAUAAUGUUAAUAUUAGUAUUAAGUUUAUAUUUAUAUGAUGAACUCGGCAAAAAUGCUUCUCAACUGUUUAUCAAAAACAUAACUAUGUGAAUAAAUACAUAGCGGUUUCUGCUCAA